ACAUCUCAUUACAUAGAUCAAUGAUCAACUUCACGUUUUCAGAACUUGUAAUUAUAAUGACAAUUCUUAGGCAUUCGCAAGCUCAAAAUUCAACAACACUUAGUCACUCACCAUUACCAAAAACCAUAAUUCAUACAAUUGCUUCAAGCAUCCAAUAUUUGCAAAUUAAAGAUAGAAAGAAUUUAUACUUACAUGCAUAUAUU
rnacentral:lncRNA from 1 species